GACGGGGCCCGCACAAGCGGUGAGCAUGUGGUUUAAUUCGAUGCAACGCGAAGAACCUUACCUGGGCUUGACAUCCCGAGAAUCCCCUGGAAACAGGGGAGUGCCUUUCGGGGAACUCGGAGACAGGUGCUGCAUGGCUGUCGUCAGCUCGUGUCGUGAGAUGUUGGGUUAAGUCCCGCAACGAGCGCAACCCUUGUCUUUAAUUGCCAGCAUUCAGUUGGGCACUUUAAAGAGACUGCCGGUGUUAAGCCGGAGGAAGGUGGGGAUGACGUCAAGUCCUCAUGGCCUUUAUGCCCAGGGCUACACACGUGCUACAAUGGGUGGUACAAAGAGAUGCCAACUCGCGAGAGCGCGCCAAUCUCAGAAAGCCAUCCUCAGUUCGGAUUGGAGUCUGCAACUCGACUCCAUGAAGUUGGAAUCGCUAGUAAUCGCGGAUCAGCACGCCGCGGUGAAUACGUUCCCGGGCCUU
rnacentral:rRNA from 1 species